CUAAUGAGCUGACCGAACUCCGUGCUGGCGUCAACGAGCUAACUGCUACCGUGAAACUCCUCUCUAAAAAAUGUGAUGAUCUGGACGGCCGCUUGAGGAGGUGCGGAAGUUUGACGGCAAGGCUAUGUUGGAUUGUGCUCACCGGAUCCUGCACGCGAGGCCUAAAGAUGGCGAACCUCCUCGGCCGCUCGUUGGACGAGUGAAUUUAUUUCUAGUCCGGAAUCAGAUUCUACGAAGGGCGGGUGAGGUAUAUUUUCCCCACUGGACCCGUGGGGAAAACCAAGACACCCAGAUUCGGACAUUCCCAGCAGGAGCAGGGUGGCGAGCCAAGCAGAACCAUCCUGCCGCAUGGAAAAAGGACUUCCUACUUCCCUCAUCCAUGGACAGCAUGGUAGGACAGACACACAAAAAAAGACCACCGAUCA